rnacentral:pre_miRNA from 1 species
AAGAGAGCUAUCCGUGAACAGUAUGCUGUGUGUGCGAAAAUUCACUGUCAUGGAGCUGCUCUCUUUA